UUUUACGUUUAUAUUCUACUGAAUCCACCGAAUCCCGUUCGAACUUCGAAGUGAAUCAGUUGCGAGGUAUCUUAGUACUUGGAUGGGAGACCUCCUGGAAACCGUUAGUGACGUAAAUU
rnacentral:rRNA from 1 species